rnacentral:rRNA from 1 species
GCAUAUCAAUAAGCGGAGGAAAAGAAACUAACAAGGAUUCCCCUAGUAACUGCGAGUGAAGCGGGAAAAGCUCAAAUUUAAAAUCUGGCGGUCUCCGGCCGUCCGAGUUGUAAUUUAGAGAAGCGUUAUCCGUGCUGGACCGUGUAUAAGUCUCCUGGAAUGGAGCGUCAUAGAGGGUGAGAAUCCCGUCUUUGACACGGACUACCAGUGCAUUGUGAUGCGCUCUCGACGAGUCGAGUUGUUUGGGAAUGCAGCUCAAAAUGGGUGGUAAAUGCCAUCUAAAGCUAAAUAUUGGCGAGAGACCGAUAGCGAACAAGUACCGUGAGGGAAAGAUGAAAAGAACUUUGGAAAGAGAGUUAAACAGUACGUGAAAUUGUCGAAAGGGAAACGGUUGCAGUCAGUCGCGUCCGCCGGGGAUCAACCUUGCUUUUGCUUGGCGUAUUUCCCGGUGGAUGGGUCAGCAUCAGUUUUGACCGCAGUUGAAAGGCUGGAGGAAUGUGGCACCUUCGGGUGUGUUAUAGCCUCCUGUCAUAUGCUGCGGUUGGGACUGAGGAACUCAGCACGCCGCAAGGCCGGGAUUCGUCCACGUUCGUGCUUAGGAUGCUGGCAUAAU